GAUGAACGCUAGCGGCAGGCCUAACACAUGCAAGUCGAGGGGUAGAACACUUCGGUGUUUGAGACCGGCGCACGGGUGCGUAACGCGUAUGCAAUCUACCUUGUACAGGGGAAUAGCCCAGAGAAAUUUGGAUUAAUGCCCCAUAGUAUAUAACCUUCGCAUGUUGGUUAUAUUAAAGUUCCAACGGUACAAGAUGAGCAUGCGUCCCAUUAGUUAGUUGGUAAGGUAACGGCUUACCAAGACGAUGAUGGGUAGGGGUCCUGAGAGGGAGAUCCCCCACACUGGUACUGAGACACGGACCAGACUCCUACGGGAGGCAGCAGUGAGGAAUAUUGGUCAAUGGUCGCAAGACUGAACCAGCCAUGCCGCGUGCAGGAAGACGGUCCUAUGGAUUGUAAACUGCUUUUAUACAGGAAGAAACCCUCCCACGUGUGGGAGCUUGACGGUACUGUAGGAAUAAGGAUCGGCUAACCGUCGUCGCCAGCACGCCGGUAACGGUAAACGUACACGUCGCG
rnacentral:rRNA from 1 species